CAGACACUGGGAGGUGGUGACGAGAAGUACUAAGUGGUGGCCCUUAGGGUCGCCAGCUUGGAAUGGACGUAAUUUAAGUAAUUCGAUGAGUAACAACUGGAGGGCAAGUCUGGUGCCAGCAGCCGCGGUAAUUCCAGCUCCAGUAGCGUAUUUUAAAGUUGCUGCGUUUAAAACGCUCGUAGUUGGAUCACGCAGUGUAAGUUG
rnacentral:rRNA from 1 species